rnacentral:rRNA from 2 species
GGAUGCCAUCAUACCAGCACUAAAGCACCGGAUCCCAUCAGAACUCCGAAGUUAAACGUGCUUGGGCGAGAGUAGUACUAGGAUGGGUGACCUCCUGGGAAGUCCUCGUGUUGCAUUCC